ensembl:lncRNA
AGACAACAGAAAAGUUAAACAACCAGCAACCAACUUGUGAAAGAGCUGGGAUUAGAUCCUGAGUCUCCUGUCCCUCGGAAAGGGAAAUGGCAACCCACUCCAAUAUUCUUCCUGGAGAAUCCCAUAGACAGAGGAGCCUGGUGGGCUACAGUCCAUAGGGUUGCAGAGAGUCGGACAAGACUGGUGACUUAGCACGCAUGUACGCUCCUGGUCCAUAAGGAAUGAUGCCGCUGAAUACACCUCUCUUCUAGGACUUUGCCCUCUCCCCAACCCCAUGGAGCCAUCAAGGAGCUCCCUAAGGCAGAAAGCAGACAUUAGUUAAAUAAAUGAACAGUUCUCUUCAGAACAGAAGUGUCAAGAUGCACACACUGCUCUACUGAAAAUGGAUAACCAAUAAGUGACUACAUGUGAAGACCAGCAGAAACAGUACACUCAGAAAAGUUUUUACAGCAGUGACAAGCAUUUAC